rnacentral:rRNA from 1 species
UACAGAGGUGCCGAGCGUUAGGCGGAAUCACUGGGCUUAAAGCGUGUGUAGGCGGUCGGGUAAGUCUGAUGUGAAAUCUCACAGCUUAACUGUGAAACUGCAUUGGAUACUAUCCGGCUCGAGGAAUGGAGGGGAGACUGGAAUACUUGGUGUAGCAGUGAAAUGCGUAGAUAUCAAGUGGAACACCAGUGGCGAAGGCGAGUCUCUGGACAUUUCCUGACGCUGAGGCACGAAAGCCAGGGGAGCAAACGGG